UCGACCCGGACGAAUGCCCCGCAAGGGGACUGACGGUACGGGUAUAAGAAGCCCGGCUAACUACGUGCCAGCAGCCGCGGUAAGACGUGGGGGGCCAGCGUUGCUCGGAAUUACUGGGUGUAAAGGGCUCGUAGGCGGUGUGGCAAGUCGGGAGUGAAAUCUCUGGGCUUAACUCAGAGACUGCUUCCGAAACUGCUGUGCUUGAGUGUGGGAGAGGCGCGUGGAAUUGCAGGUGUAGCGGUGAAAUGCGUAGAUAUCUGCAGGAACACCCGUGGCGAAAGCGGCGCGCUGGACCACUACUGACGCUGAGGAACGAAAGCUAGGGGAGCAAACAGGAUUAGAUACCCUGGUAGUCCUAGCCCUAAACGAUCAGGACUUGGGGUGCCGCACGUUCGUGCGUCGUCCUGGAGCUAACGCGUUAAGUCCUGCACCUGGGGAGUACGGUCGCAAGACUGAAACUCAAAGGAAUUGACGGGGGCCCGCACAAGCGGUGGAACAUGUGGUUCAAUUCGACGCUACGCGAGGAACCUUACCUGGGCUCGAAGCGCACCUGACUAGCUAUAGAAAUAUGGCCUUCCCGCAAGGGACAAGUGUGGAGGCGCUGCAUGGCUGUCGUCAGCUCGUGCCGUGAGGUGUUGGGUUAAGUCCCGCAACGAGCGCAACCCCUGCACGUAGUUGCCACUCCGCAAGGAGGGAACUCUACGUGGACUGCUCCGGAUAACGGAGAGGAAGGUGGGGAUGACGUCAAGUCCGCAUGGCCUUUAUGUCCAGGGCUACACACGUGUUACAAUGCAGGGCACAAACCGUUGCCAACCCGCGAGGGGGAGCUAAUCGGAGAAAACUCUGCUCAGUUCGGAUUGCAGUCUACAACUCGACUGCAUGAAGCCGGAAUCGCUAGUAAUGGCGUAUCAGAUCGACGCCGUGAAUACGUUCCCGGGCCUUGUACACACCGCCCGUCACAUCACGAAAGUGAGUUGUACUAGAAGUCGCCGCGCUGACCGCAAGGAAGCAAGCGCCCAAGGUAUGA
rnacentral:rRNA from 1 species